GACGAACGCUGGCGGCGUGCUUAACACAUGCAAGUCGAACGGAAAGGCCCUGCUUUUGUGGGGUGCUCGAGUGGCGAACGGGUGAGUAACACGUGAGUAACCUGCCCUUGACUUUGGGAUAACUUCAGGAAACUGGGGCUAAUACCGGAUAGGAGCUCCUGCUGCAUGGUGGGGGUUGGAAAGUUUCGGCGUUUGGGGAUGGACUCGCGGCUUAUCAGCUUGUUGGUGGGGUAGUGGCUUACCAAGGCUUUGACGGGUAGCCGGCCUGAGAGGGUGACCGGCCACAUUGGGACUGAGAGACGGCCCAGACUCCUACGGGAGGCAGCAGUGGGGAAUAUUGCACAAUGGGCGGAAGCCUGAUGCAGCAACGCCGCGUGCGGGAUGACGGCCUUCGGGUUGUAAACCGCUUUCGCCUGUGACGAAGCGUGAGUGACGGUAAUGGGUAAAGAAGCACCGGCUAACUACGUG
rnacentral:rRNA from 1 species